UACGAAGGGGGCUAGCGUUGCUCGGAAUCACUGGGCGUAAAGCGCACGUAGGCGGAUUGUUAAGUCAGGGGUGAAAUCCUGGAGCUCAACUCCAGAACUGCCUUUGAUACUGGCGAUCUUGAGUCCGGGAGAGGUGAGUGGAACUGCGAGUGUAGAGGUGAAAAUUCGUAGAUAUUCGCAAGAACACCAGUGGCGAAGGCGGCUCACUGGCCCGGUACUGACGCUGAGGUGCGAA
rnacentral:rRNA from 1 species